CAGAUGGGGAUGUUUGGGGUCAGUUCUGCUAGCAACCCAGUACAGUGAAUGACCAAGCCUGAAUAAAGCAGUGGUACCCUGAGCCCCUGACUCAUUUUUGAGGCUGCUCGGCCAGCUGCUGCUGCUGUUGCCUGCCACUUGAUGCACUCCAGCACAGGAGGGCUGCCACUGCAGACAUUUCUGCCUGCAUCCUUGCUCUGGACCUGUGCUCCGGACCUUCAUGUCUCUCAAGCAGUGUUUCUUUCUGCAAAGAGGUGGGAACAGUGCUACUUUCCCUUUGAGGUGAAGCAUUAGACAUAGAAGCUGGUGACCAGCCUCUGGAGCCACAGAUAUGCUAAGCUGGGAUCUGAAAACAGCAUUCUAGAUACCAGAGGAACCGUGAAUCAUAAAUUCUUCAGACCAAAUGACUUGGGACACAUUCCAUGUGGAUGGAGAACUGAAAGAAACUUCUGAGGCAGAUUCUUGAGAAGAAGGAAGAACAGAAAAAUUAAAAAGAAAGCAGCAGAUUAAGUGGGUUGAAAUUGCCUGUUUAUUGUCUUCCUUCCCUUGUUUCAUCUGAACUUCUUUCUUUUUAAAAAAUAGUUUUGCUGGAUGCAGUGGCACAUGCCUGAAAUUGAAGUCCUUGGGAGGUAAAGGCAGAAGGAUCAGGAGUUCAAGGCUAGCCUUGGCUACACAGAAAGUUUCAGGCCGGCCUGGAUUAUGUAAAAUCCCAUUUCAACAAACCAAAACAUAAACCUACUAGCGUAUAUUUAUUAUACAAAGUGAACGGGUUUCAUAAUGACAAUUCGUUUAAAUAUAUCAUGUACCUUGAUCGUGUUUGCCUCUGUUAUUUUCUCUUGUCUCCUCCAUACUUCUUUGAGUACUACUUUUUAAAAUAGUGUCCCUUUUACAUUCAUGUUCUCUGUCUCUCUCUUUGUGUCUCUGUGUAUUUUUCUUUCUCUCUUCUUGAAGUUCAAUAUGUGGCAGAAAAGAUGCA